UAGAGUUUGAUCCUGGCUCAGAAUGAACGUUGGCGGCGUGGAUUAGGCAUGCAAGUCGUGCGACAGGCCCGCAAGGGCGCUGAGCGGCGAAAGGGAGAGUAACGCGUAGGUUAUCUACCCUCAGGACCGGGAUAGCUACGGGAAACUGUAGGUAAUACCGGAUGAUGUCUCCGGACUAAAGGUGUGAUUCCGCCUGUGGAGGAGCCUGCGUCCUAUUAGCUAGUUGGUGGGGUAACGGCCUACCAAGGCUGAGAUGGGUACGGGGUAUGAGAGUAUGCCCCCGCUCACUGGGACUGAGACACUGCCCAGACACCUACGGGUGGCUGCAGUCGAGGAUCUUCGGCAAUGGGCGCAAGCCUGACCGAGCGACGCCGCGUGUGGGAUGAAGGCCUUCGGGUUGUAAACCACUGUCAGUGGGGAGGAAAUACUAUGGAGUUCUCUCCGUAGUUUGACCUAUCCGCAGAGGAAGUACGGGCUAAGUUCGUGCCAGCCGCCGCGGUAAUAC
rnacentral:rRNA from 1 species